rnacentral:rRNA from 1 species
UUAAGUUAUUAAGGGCGCACGGUGGAUGCCUUGGCACUAGAAGCCGAUGAAGGACGUUACUAACGACGAUAUGCUUUGGGGAGCUGUAAGUAAGCUUUGAUCCAGAGAUUUCCGAAUGGGGAAACCCAGCAUGAGUUAUGUCAUGUUAUCGAUAUGUGAAUACAUAGCAUAUCAGAAGGCACACCCGGAGAACUGAAACAUCUUAGUACCCGGAGGAAGAGAAAGAAAAUUCGAUUCCCUUAGUAGCGGCGAGCGAAACGGGAAGAGCCCAAACCAACAAGCUUGCUUGUUGGGGUUGUAGGACACUCUAUACGGAGUUACAAAGGACGACAUUAGACGAAUCAUCUGGAAAGAUGAAUCAAAGAAGGUAAUAAUCCUGUAGUCGAAAAUGUUGUCUCUCUUGAGUGGAUCCUGAGUACGACGGAGCACGUGAAAUUCCGUCGGAAUCUGGGAGGACCAUCUCCUAAGGCUAAAUACUCUCUAGUGACCGAUAGUGAACCAGUACCGUGAGGGAAAGGUGAAAAGCACCCCGGAAGGGGAGUGAAAUAGAACCUGAAACCGUGUGCUUACAAGUAGUCAGAGCCCGUUAAUGGGUGAUGGCGUGCCUUUUGUAGAAUGAACCGGCGAGUUACGAUUUGAUGCAAGGUUAAGCAGUAAAUGUGGAGCCGUAGCGAAAGCGAGUCUGAAUAGGGCGUUUAGUAUUUGGUCGUAGACCCGAAACCAGGUGAUCUACCCUUGGUCAGGUUGAAGUUCAGGUAACACUGAAUGGAGGACCGAACCGACUUACGUUGAAAAGUGAGCGGAUGAACUGAGGGUAGCGGAGAAAUUCCAAUCGAACCUGGAGAUAGCUGGUUCUCUCCGAAAUAGCUUUAGGGCUAGCCUCAAGUGAUGAUUAUUGGAGGUAGAGCACUGUUUGGACGAGGGGCCCCUCUCGGGUUACCGAAUUCAGACAAACUCCGAAUGCCAAUUAAUUUAACUUGGGAGUCAGAACAUGGGUGAUAAGGUCCGUGUUCGAAAGGGAAACAGCCCAGACCACCAGCUAAGGUCCCAAAAUAUAUGUUAAGUGGAAAAGGAUGUGGCGUUGCCCAGACAACUAGGAUGUUGGCUUAGAAGCAGCCAUCAUUUAAAGAGUGCGUAAUAGCUCACUAGUCGAGUGACACUGCGCCGAAAAUGUACCGGGGCUAAACAUAUUACCGAAGCUGUGGAUUGUCCUUUGGACAAUGGUAGGAGAGCGUUCCAAGGGCGUUGAAGCAUGAUCGUAAGGACAUGUGGAGCGCUUAGAAGUGAGAAUGCCGGUGUGAGUAGCGAAAGACGGGUGAGAAUCCCGUCCACCGAUUGACUAAGGUUUCCAGAGGAAGGCUCGUCCGCUCUGGGUUAGUCGGGUCCUAAGCUGAGGCCGACAGGCGUAGGCGAUGGAUAACAGGUUGAUAUUCCUGUACCACCUAUAAUCGUUUUAAUCGAUGGGGGGACGCAGUAGGAUAGGCGAAGCGUGCGAUUGGAUUGCACGUCUAAGCAGUAAGGCUGAGUAUUAGGCAAAUCCGGUACUCGUUAAGGCUGAGCUGUGAUGGGGAGAAGACAUUGUGUCUUCGAGUCGUUGAUUUCACACUGCCGAGAAAAGCCUCUAGAUAGAAAAUAGGUGCCCGUACCGCAAACCGACACAGGUAGUCAAGAUGAGAAUUCUAAGGUGAGCGAGCGAACUCUCGUUAAGGAACUCGGCAAAAUGACCCCGUAACUUCGGGAGAAGGGGUGCUCUUUAGGGUUAACGCCCAGAAGAGCCGCAGUGAAUAGGCCCAAGCGACUGUUUAUCAAAAACACAGGUCUCUGCUAAACCGUAAGGUGAUGUAUAGGGGCUGACGCCUGCCCGGUGCUGGAAGGUUAAGAGGAGUGGUUAGCUUCUGCGAAGCUACGAAUCGAAGCCCCAGUAAACGGCGGCCGUAACUAUAACGGUCCUAAGGUAGCGAAAUUCCUUGUCGGGUAAGUUCCGACCCGCACGAAAGGCGUAACGAUUUGGGCACUGUCUCAACGAGAGACUCGGUGAAAUCAUAGUACCUGUGAAGAUGCAGGUUACCCGCGACAGGACGGAAAGACCCCGUGGAGCUUUACUGUAGCCUGAUAUUGAAAUUCGGCACAGCUUGUACAGGAUAGGUAGGAGCCUUUGAAACGUGAGCGCUAGCUUACGUGGAGGCGCUGGUGGGAUACUACCCUAGCUGUGUUGGCUUUCUAACCCGCACCACUUAUCGUGGUGGGAGACAGUGUCAGGCGGGCAGUUUGACUGGGGCGGUCGCCUCCUAAAAGGUAACGGAGGCGCUCAAAGGUUCCCUCAGAAUGGUUGGAAAUCAUUCAUAGAGUGUAAAGGCAUAAGGGAGCUUGACUGCGAGACCUACAAGUCGAGCAGGGUCGAAAGACGGACUUAGUGAUCCGGUGGUUCCGCAUGGAAGGGCCAUCGCUCAACGGAUAAAAGCUACCCCGGGGAUAACAGGCUUAUCUCCCCCAAGAGUUCACAUCGACGGGGAGGUUUGGCACCUCGAUGUCGGCUCAUCGCAUCCUGGGGCUGUAGUCGGUCCCAAGGGUUGGGCUGUUCGCCCAUUAAAGCGGUACGCGAGCUGGGUUCAGAACGUCGUGAGACAGUUCGGUCCCUAUCCGUCGUGGGCGUAGGAAAUUUGAGAGGAGCUGUCCUUAGUACGAGAGGACCGGGAUGGACAUACCUCUGGUGUACCAGUUGUCGUGCCAACGGCAUAGCUGGGUAGCUAUGUGUGGACGGGAUAAGUGCUGAAAGCAUCUAAGCAUGAAGCCCCCCCUCAAGAUGAGAUUUCCCAACUUCGGUUAUAAGAUCCCUCAAAGAUGAUGAGGUUAAUAGGUUCGAGGUGGAAGCAUGGUGACAUGUGGAGCUGACGAAUACUAAUCGAUCGAAGACUUAAUCAA